UGCCUUUUGGAAUCUGGCUUGAGAUGUCUGAAAGGCAGUUGGAGGUCAGCAGAGAGACUGGGGCCAGAAAGGUUGAUUUGAGAAUCAUUAUCACAGAGAUGGCAAGCUCACUUGGUCAGAUCACCAAGUAAAGGAGAAUAGAAGAAGAAUACCCUAAGGGAUACCCACAGUUAGAGGCUGUAAUCUGGAGGAGACUGAGAAAGAGUGGUCAGAUAGGUAGGAGAAGAACCAGGAGAGAAUGGCAUCCUGAAAACCUAGGGAGAGGUGGGUGAUCUCCUGCAGAGAGGUCGAGGAAAAUGAGGACUGGAAAAGGCCAUUGGAUUUGGCAACCAAGUAAUCAUCAGUAACUCUGGAGAGAGCCUUUUCAGUGGAAUGAUAACCUCAGGAGCCCAAUUCUAAGGGGCUAAGAAGAGAGGUAGAAGAGAGAAAGUGGAGGCAUUUAUUAGAAACAGCCUUUUCAAGGGAUUUCACCAUGAAGGGCAGAAGAGAUCAUGAUAGCAAUAAUAGCUAGCGUUUGCAUAGUGCUUACUAUGUGCCAGACCCUGUGCUUUACCAUUAUUAUCUCAUUGGAUUUUUCACAACAGCCCUGCGAGGUGGGUACUAUUAUAUCUCCAUUUUACAGAUGAGGAAACUAAGGCAAACUGGGCUAAGUGACUUGCCCAGGGCCACAGCUAGUUUCUGAGGCCAGAUUUAAACUCUGGGCUUCCUGACUCCAGGCAUGGAGCUCUAUGCACUCUGACACCUAGUACAUGAAUAAGCACUCCUUCCCUUUCUUCCACAGAACCAUCUUACUGUGUGUAAAAUGCAUCUGAGAGAUCGAGAAGGACGUGGACUGAAAGAAAGACUUAUAUUUAGGGGUUAUAUUAUCAGCAAUAGUUUCUCUACAUAUUAUUUACCAAGUAUUUCUUAAAAUCUGAGUACAUAUUUUGGGAACCCACUACUUUAGCAACAGGAAACUCAACUGACCUGGAAGAAAUAUCAGGUUAUUAAGGAAACACAUGAAUACAUUUCUUAAUGGCAGAAAGGGACUCAGGGUAUUUUUCCCUCUUUGUGGAAAAGCAGUUGAAAUGAAAUGGU